AUGCCAGAGAUUACAUCACCAAUGCUUUAUGCAAAGGAGAGGAUCAAUCAAAGCUUCCCCCAACAAAAUAAGCAACCUUUGCUCAAGAAGAUGUUGGACAUUGUUGAGAACCGUUGGGAGACUCAAAUGAAUCAUCCAUUGUAUGGGGCUGCUCUUUAUUUGAACCCAGGAAAGUUUUUCCCUAUUGUAAAGAGGAAUGACGAUGCCUUAGUUGGGGAGCUAAGGAGCUGCUUUAAUGAUGUGCUUGCAAAAACGGUGCUUGAUGCCAAUAUACGAAGCAAGAUUGAUCAACAAGCUGUGCUCUAUGAGAACCAUCGAGGAGUCUUUUCUAAUGGGUUGGCAACUGAAAAUAUUGAGAAAAAGGGCCCUCUUGAAUGGUGGUGUUCAUAUGGUGGUCGGGCCAUUGAGAUACAAAGAUUUGCGAAACGCAUUGUCAGCCUUUGUGCAUCAUCUUCCGGGUGUGAGAGGAAUUGGAGCACCUUUGAAUUUAUCCAUACGAAGAAAAGGAACAGGCUGCAAUGGAAAAGGUUGAAUGAUUGUGUUUUUGUUUCAUAUAACCGCAAGAUGAUGCAUAGGUUUCAAAAGAGGCGUGAGAAGGCAGGAGACACAAGCUUUGACCCUUUGGUGUAUGAGGAUUUUGAUUGGGGCAAUGAGUGGGUUGACCCAACAAUACCACUACCUCAAGGUGCUCGUGGGUGUCCUGAUGACAUCUCAUGGGAUGAUGUUGAUGUGGCUGUUGGUGCAUCCGUGAACCUUCAAGGUCGCAAUCUUCCUAGGACAGGUACUACACUUCAAAGGGGGCCUUCAGCUGUCCAUGUGCAGUUUAAAAGACAGCGCAAGAGACCUACAGCAACACGUCCAACACUACUUGAAGAAGAUUGGGAAGAGGAGGACUUGGAGCAAGAGCAACACUCAAGUAACCCCAGCCGCAAUGAAGAGGAGGAGGAUUCAGACUAUGUGCAGGAUGAUGAUGAUGUGAGCAAUGAUGAUGAAGAUCCAACCAAUGAUGACCAAGAUGGUGAAGACAACACCAAUGCCACCAUGGAUGAGUUUGAUGACGGUUAUUGA
rnacentral:rRNA from 1 species